GGAAAUCUUCUUACACACACCUGGCAAGGAAACAAAUUCUUUACUGGAUCCUUCACGUGAAAAGGAGAGGGGGUUAUCUCUUAAAAGCCUUGGCCAACGUCUCUCUAAAAAAAAGGGAUCCAUUAAAAGGAAACGAAAAAAGGAUAUUCAGAAGAAAAAAAAGGAAUUUUCGGUGUGAGUGGCACCAACUCCCCCCACGCGUCCUUUCUCUCGGAAUGCUAAAAAAGAAAAAUAAGAAAAAACCAUCUUCUCUCUCUGAAAAACACCAACACCCAUUACUAUCCUUCACUU
rnacentral:lncRNA from 1 species